AGUGUAUGUUAGGAUGAAGUGUGAAUUCAUGCCAGGAAUAAUAAGUGUGAAGUUUGAUUUCCUCCCUUCUGUAAUAAGCAGCCAAUGAGUUCUCACUGAAGGGGAUAAUUCUCACUGAAACUACUGAAUAAAGCCGCCAGUUAAAAUCAUGGAACGGUUGUGCUUAAAUCCGCUCUUUUGCUCCCCGUUUACAUGGCUAAUAAUCUCCAAACUGCUCUAAACGGUGUUGUUUGUGUGAAUAUUGUUUUCCAUAAAGUUAAUAACCCCCCCUAAAACGAAAUAUGAAAUGACCUCUUCCCCUAUCUUUAAAGCGUGCGAUACAUUUUUAAAACCAGUGAUUUAAUUCAAAAUAUUUAGUACCUACAUUUUAACACAUGUUAUAAUUCCAAAUUAUGUGUCCGCUGUGCGGGGAAAAUGAUAAUACAAGCGGAACUACGUAGCUAAUACUGUUGUAACUGGGGAUCCUUAUUGUAGCAACACACUUUUGUAGGGAAGGCAAUCCUGCGCUGCGUUAGCUAAAUUUUCAUGUCAUCGGGUGUAGUUCAUAAAGGUUGAAGAGUGUAUGUUAGGAUGAAGUGUGAAUUCAUGCCCGGAAUAAUAAGUGUGAAGUUUGAUUUCCUCCCUUCUGUAAUAAGCAGCCAAUGAGGUAUUUUUUCCUUUAUUCAUGUGUUUAAUCUGAACCCCUUAUAACGCCGGUUAAACUGUUAUGUAUGUAAGCACUUCAGAGUUAUACCAAGCUAAUAAGUAACUACUAAGAUAAUGUUGUAAGAGUGUGCUUAACUGUAUUUUUAAUUUACUUUAUAGUUCUCACUGAAGGGGAUAAUUCUCACUGAAACUACUGAAUAAAGCCGCCAGUUAAAAUCAUUGAACGGUUGUGCUCGUGGUUACUGAAGGGAGCUAUGCCCACAUCAUUAAUGAAUAAGAUGUGUGGAAAACUGUUUAGCCAUAGUUAAAGGCCUUUCAUAAAGAGCCUGUCAUGAUUGCAUGUCCCUUAUGUUUAACACGUAUUGCUUGUUACAGAAUACUACUGUUGUACAUUUAAUAUCCCCUAGCAGAUUUCGUUGCCUUUGCACAAAUUCUGUCAUGUUACUGUGGUCUUUUUAAAAGUCAAUAAAAAUGUGUGUAAAGUGGC